GGGGCUGUAGCUCAGUGGUAGAGCACUUGCCUUGCACGUGUGAGGCACUGGGUUCGAUUGUUAGCACCA
rnacentral:tRNA from 1 species